UUGAACGCUGGCGGCAGGCCUAACACAUGCAAGUCGCGCGGAUGAAGGGAGCUUGCUCCUGGAUUCAGCGGCGGACGGAUGAGUAAUGCCUAGGAAUCUGCCUGGUAGUGGGGGAUAACGUCCGGAAACGGGCGCUAAUACCGCAUACGUCCUGAGGGAGAAAGUGGGGGAUCUUCGGACCUCACGCUAUCAGAUGAGCCUAGGUCGGAUUAGCUAGUUGGUGGGGUAAAGGCCUACCAAGGCGACGAUCCGUAACUGGUCUGAGAGGAUGAUCAGUCACACUGGAACUGAGACACGGUCCAGACUCCUACGGGAGGCAGCAGUGGGGAAUAUUGGACAAUGGGCGAAAGCCUGAUCCAGCCAUGCCGCGUGUGUGAAGAAGGUCUUCGGAUUGUAAAGCACUUUAAGUUGGGAGGAAGGGCAGUAAGUUAAUACCUUGCUGUUUUGACGUUACCAACAGAAUAAGCACCGGCUAACUUCGUG
rnacentral:rRNA from 1 species